rnacentral:rRNA from 1 species
UACGAAGGGUGCAAACGUUGCUCGGAAUUAUUGGGCGUAAAGCGCACGUAGGCGGACUGUUAAGUCGGAUGUGAAAUCCCUCAGCUUAACUGAGGAAGUGCAUUCGAAACUGGCAGUCUUGAGUAUGGAAGAGGGUCGCGGAAUUCCCGGUGUAGAGGUGAAAUUCGUAGAUAUCGGGAGGAACACCAGUGGCGAAGGCGGCGACCUGGGCCAAUACUGACGCUGAGGUGCGAAAGCGUGGGGAGCAAACAGG